rnacentral:rRNA from 1 species
UAAGCCAUGCGAGUCGAGAGGGUUCGGCCCUCGGCGUACUGCUCAGUAACACGUGGAUAACCUGCCCUAGGGAAGGGGAUAAUCCCGGGAAACUGGGGAUAAUACCCUAUAGGUUACAGAUGCUGGAAUGCUCUGUAAUCAAAAGUUCCGGCGCCCUAGGAUGGAUCUGCGGCCGAUUAGGUUGUUGUUGGGGUAAUGGCCCAACAAGCCAGUAAUCGGUACGGGUUGUGGGAGCAAGAGCCCGGAGUUGGAUUCUGAGACACGAAUCCAGGCCCUACGGGGCGCAGCAGGCGCGAAAACUUUACAAUGCGGGCAACCGUGAUAAGGGAACCUCGAGUGCCUGUAAAUGCAGGCUGUUCAGAUGCCUAAAACACAUCUGGAGAAAGGGCCGGGCAAGACCGGUGCCAGCCGCCGCGGUAAUACCGGCGGCUCGAGUGGUGGCCACUUUUAUUGGGCUUAAAGCGUUCGUAGCUGGGUUGUUAAGUCUCUUGGGAAAUCUGGCGGCUUAACCGUCAGGCGUCUAAGGGAUACUGGCAAUCUUGGAACCGGGAGAGGUGAGGGGUACUUCGGGGGUAGGAGUGAAAUCCUGUAAUCCUCGAGGGACCACCUGUGGCGAAGGCGCCUCACCAGAACGGCUUCGACAGUGAGGGACGAAAGCUGGGGGAGCAAACCGGAUUAGAUACCCGGGUAGUCCCAGCCGUAAACUAUGCGCGUUAGGUGUAUCGGUGACCACGAGUUACCGAGGUGCCGAAGGGAUACCGUGAAACGUGCCGCCUGGGAAGUACGGUCGCAAGGCUGAAACUUAAAGGAAUUGGCGGGGGAGCACCACAACAGGUGGAGCCUGCGGUUUAAUUGGACUCAACGCCGGGAAGCUCACCGGAUAGGACAGCAGAAUGAUUGCCGGGCUGAAGACCCUGCAUGACUAGCUGAGAGGAGGUGCAUGGCCGUCGUCAGUUCGUACUGUGAAGCAUCCUGUUAAGUCAGGCAACGAGCGAGACCCA